GCUGGGUGUGGUGGUGCACGCCUAUAAUCCCAGCAGCUUGGGAGGCUGAGGCAGGAGGAUCACAGCUUCAAAGUCAGCCUCAC
rnacentral:sRNA from 1 species